rnacentral:tRNA from 1 species
UGGUUCAUUAGCUUAGUUGGCUUAAAGCGCCGCUCUGUCACGGCGGAGAUCAUGGGUUCGAAUCCCAUAUGAACCGU